AUUGAACGCUGGCGGCAGGCUUAACACAUGCAAGUCGAGCGGGGUGAUGGUGCUUGCACUAUCACUUAGCGGCGGACGGGUGAGUAAUGCUUAGGAAUCUGCCUAUUAGUGGGGGACAACAUCUCGAAAGGGAUGCUAAUACCGCAUACGUCCUACGGGAGAAAGCAGGGGAUCACUUGUGACCUUGCGCUAAUAGAUGAGCCUAAGUCGGAUUAGCUAGUUGGUGGGGUAAAGGCCUACCAAGGGGACGAUCUGUAGCGGGCCUGAGAGGAUGAUCCGCCACACUGGGACUGAGACACGGCCCAGACUCCUACGGGAGGCAGCAGUGGGGAAUAUUGGACAAUGGGGGGAACCCUGAUCCAGCCAUGCCGCGUGUGUGAAGAAGGCCUUAUGGUUGUAAAGCACUUUAAGCGAGGAGGAGGCUCUUUUGGUUAAUACCCAAGAUGAGUGGACGUUACUCGCAGAAUAAGCACCGGCUAACUCUGUGCCAGCCGCCGCGGUAA
rnacentral:rRNA from 1 species